UACGGAGGGGGCUAGCGUUAUUCGGAAUUACUGGGCGUAAAGCGCACGUAGGCGGACUGGAAAGUUGGGGGUGAAAGCCCAGGGCUCAACCCUGGAACUGCCUUCAAAACUCCCAGUCUUGAGGUCGAGAGAGGUGAGUGGAAUUCCGAGUGCAGAGGUGAAAUUCGUAGAUAUUCGGAGGAACACCAGUGGCGAAGGCGGCUCACUGGCUCGAUACUGACGCUGAGGUGCGAAAGCGUGGGGAGCAAACAGG
rnacentral:rRNA from 1 species